rnacentral:rRNA from 1 species
GAUGAACGCUGACAGAAUGCUUAACACAUGCAAGUCAUUGGCGAAGCUGCGCUUGCGCAGUCUAGCCUAGGCGGACGGGUGAGUAACGCGUAAGGAACUUGCCCUGCAGACAGGGAUAACAGACGGAAACGACUGAUAACACCUGGUAUUGUCAGGCUGGCGCAUGCCGGCCUGAUGAAAGGAGACGCUGCAGGAGAGCCUUGCGUCCUAUUAGCUAGUUGGUGGGGUAACGGCCCACCAAGGCGAUGAUAGGUAGCCGGCCUGAGAGGGUGAACGGCCACAAGGGGACUGAGAUACGGCCCUUACUCCUACGGGAGGCAGCAGUGGGGAAUAUUGGACAAUGGGGGCAACCCUGAUCCAGCAAUUCUGUGUGCACGAAGAAGGUUUUCGGAUUGUAAAGUGCUUUCAGCAGGGAAGAAGAAAGUGACGGUACCUGCAGAAGAAGCGACGGCUAAAUACGUG